GCCUUACCCGAGGAUUUGUAUCCAGUGAAACAACAUCUGCCAUGUCACCACCAAGACACUAAAUUAAAGCAAUGGCAUGGACCUUAAAAGUAUUUUGUAUACCAUCUAUGAUUCACUGCUGCUGUACAGUAAAGUGACAGCACAUGAAUAAUAGAGGAAUAUUUUACUUGAUAAGAUCCCUCUGACAAAGGAAUGUAAAUUAUGUUAGUGAUGAGUUUUAUUUCAAUCAACCGUGCUGAUCUCAGUGGCCACAACCGAUUCAAUGCAUCACUGCAGGUUGGAUGCCAGUUAUUUGGGUUCAAAUCCUGCCUUCAUUAUAACUCAUGAUAUAAAUAAAUUUCAUGAGUAUCCAUAUUGCCCAUCUUCCUCUUCUUCUCGUAUAAAAUAAACUAAAACCUCUUGCAGUCAUCACAAAUUUUAAAAACAACAAUUAUGGCACCACUCCUAGCAUGAGAAACGUUUUGUUUUGCUGCAUUGGGCACACUAAAACAACCAAACAGUUAUUAUGCCACAAAGUGUAUUGGACACC
rnacentral:lncRNA from 1 species